UGCGCCCCCUUGCGCCCCCCCCAUGAGGCGGCGCUUCCGGGAAGAUGGCGGCCAUGCGAGCUGCCCCGGGACGGGUGACGGCGGCGGCCGCUGAGUCCAAGGCGAAGGACGCAGAGGAGGAAGAAGAGGAGUCGCCACCGCCGUGCGAGGCAGUCCGCUGGGCCCCGGUGGGGGCGGUGGCCGAGGCCGGGUCCGGGACGGCCGCGUUCUCGGAGGCGGCUGAGGAGUCCGGGACGGCCCCGGGGUCUCCCCCAGGCUCGCCGACCCGGGCGUUGCGGCGGCUGCGGGCCGAGCGGCGGCGGCUGGACUCGGCGCUCCUCGCGCUGUCCUCGCACUUCGCUCAGGUGCAGUUCCGCCUGCGUCAGGUGGUGCGCGGGGCGCCGGCCGAGCAGCAGCGCCUCCUGCGCGAGCUCGAGGACUUCGCCUUCCGCGGCUGCCCGCACGUGCUGGGGGACGAGGGGCCCAGGGACGCCACCUGCGACGAGGACUAUGAGGGCGACGGGCCACCCGGGCAGCGGCCGCGGGUGCGGGGCGAGAGCCAGGGCUUGAGUGAGCAGGAGAGACGGCAGCGCCUGGAAAUCCAGCGGGAGAAGCAGAGGGAGCUGAUCCUGCAGCUUAAGAACCAGCUGGAUGACCUGGAGACAUUUGCCUACCAGGAGGGCAGCUACGACUCUCUGCCGCAGGCCAUGGUCCUGGAGAGGCAGCGGGUGAUCAUAGACGAGCUGAUAAAGAAGCUGGACAUGAACCUGAACGAGGACCUCAGCUCACUGUCCACCGAGGAGCUCCGCCAGCGUGUGGACGCGGCUGUGACGCAGAUGGUGAGCCCAGCCCGAGUGAAGGAGCAGCUGGUGGAGCAGCUGAAGACCCAGAUCCGAGACCUGGAGAUGUUCAUCAGCUUCAUCCAAGAUGAAGCAGGAAACCCCUUGCAAGCAGGCGGCAGACCCUGUGCGUGCAAGGCCAGCGGCAGGACAGCAGGCGGCUCCAGUGGGCCCGGCGGCGGCCAGGCCCCCCCAGGAAGCAGCACAGCAAAGGUGGAGGAUGUGAAGCACACCCGGGAGUCGGGGCUGCACCUGAUGCGCCGUGCGCUGGCCGUGCUGCAGAUCUUUGCUGUGAGCCAGUUUGGCUGCACCACAGGACAGAUCCCGCCUGGCCUGUGGCAGAGGGGCCAGGCCGACAGGGACUACACCCCUCUGCUGAGGCGCCUGGAGGCGGCGGUGGACAAAGUGAAGCAGCUGGCCCUGCGGCACCAGCCGCAGGACCACGUGGUCACCUCUGCGCCACUCCGGGACGCGUCCCCAGGGGCCGGGGAUGAGCUGACCACGGCAGUGCGGAAGGAGCUGACGGUGGCCGUGCGGGACCUGCUGGCCCACGGGCUGCACGCUGCGUCCCCCGGGGUGAGCCUGGUCCUGGCGCCGCUCGCCUGCCUGCUGCCAGCCUUCUCCUCGGGCCCCGAGGCCAUGCAUCCCUGGGAGCUCUUCGUAAAGUACUACCAUGCCAAGAACGGCCGCGCCUAUGUGGAGUCCCCAGCCCGCAAGCUGUCCCAGGCCUUUGCCCUGCCUGUGGGGGGUGGUGCCGUGGCGACCCCCAAGCAGAGCCUGCUGAGUGCCAUCCACCUGGUGCUGACUGAACACGACCCCUUUAAGCGCAGUGCGGACUCCGAGCUGAAGGCGCUGGUGUGCUUGGCGCUCAACGAGCAGCGCCUGGUGUCCUGGGUGAACCUCAUCUGCAAGUCGGGGCCCCUCCUGGAGCUGCACUACCAGCCCUGGAGCUACAUGGCCCGCACAGGCUUCGAGAGUGCCCUCACGCUGCUCAGCCGCCUCAGCAGCCUCAGGUUCAGCCUCCCUGUGGACCUGGCCGUGCGCCAGCUCAAGAACAUCAAGGAUGCCUUCUGAGGACCCAGGCUGAGGCCCCGCCCUGCCUGGCCCUCCCACUCGGCUGCGCCGGGACCCUCUUGUGAGAAAGUCCAAGGAGGGGCAGUGCUGCGAGGCACAGAGCCCUGUGAGUAACAGCUUCCACCCCAGCGUGCGAACACGCGCACGCCUGGGCCUGGGCCUUCUGAGCCUGUGUCUCGGGAAUCCGUUUCGGGCACAGCUUCUGCCCAGCCUCGUGUGCACCACUGUGUUUUAGAGACUUGGGUCUUUGUGGCAGUCACCGUGGGACUGAGCUUCUGGUCCUGAGGCCCCGAGGUGCCUGAUAGUGGCUCUGAGCACCCAUCCCUCAAGGGAGACAGUCAGGGGUCCCAGGGCCAGAGCUGGAAGCCCCUGUGGAAUGCCGAUUCCUCUUCCCUCCAGCCAGUGUCAGGCCAGGCCCUGCUCUCUGAAUGCGGCUGUCAGGACCACAUUUCCCUGGGAGAUGAUUUUACUGUGGGCCUUUUCCUUGGAGAGGUGGGAACAAGGGAGCCCUCACAGUGCAGGUGACAGUGUCGAGGGCAUGAGAGCUCAUGUCUGAUCCUGUGUCCUCUGUGUGCAUCCAGACGGGACACACAGCAGGUAGAACCAAGACCACUGCUUAGCGCGUCCUCACUCCAGAGUGCUCAGGUUCCGUGGUGUGCAUCCCCGGCAUCAGCCACUGGCACCACUUGUUCUGGGGCCAGAUAUGGCAUAGGUCUGAUGGCCUGGCGGGUCCUGCGGUGGGGACAGGAGCUGCAGCGGGUCCCUGUGGCUAACGGCCUAAUGUCACUGUGGACCCUGAGUCCUCACGCCUCACUCAGCUCAUGCAGGCUCUGUUCCAGCCCUGGCCGGCGAUGGGAGACACUGCGGGCUCAGCAUCGCGCCAGUCACAGAUCCACUACAAAGUGCCGUGGCCAUCAUCAUCCAUCUUGCUCUCGCCUGCAGUCCCAUCCUGUAUGGUCUCUUUCCUGUUGCCAGGAUGCAGCACCUGGCACCUCAGCUUAAAGGAGCAGAGGCUUCAUUUGGCCCACGGCUGUGGGAGAUUCAGUCCAUGAAACAAGUGACCGAGAAGUUACUUAGAUUACCAGCUUCCCAUGAUGCCAAGAGAAGGGAUUUGAACUCAAGCUGCCUGCGUCUGAAGCCUCUGUCCUUAUCAAUACCUCACUGCAUGAUGCUGUUUCUAGGACCUUCUGUUCAUUUCUCCCUUUUACCCAUCCCCCGAUUUUACCCUCUCUGAGGAGGGAAAAGUAUUUUCUACAUAAUUGCCAGAAAUUUCUGUUCAGAGCUCUGGGCUGGGGCAGGGGGAUGGGCAUUGCUCUGCCACCUUAGCAAAACCCUAGGGUGUAGCCACAGGGACAAUCCCGCCAGCAGCUAGACCCCAGCUGCCUGCUAGACCUGGGUAUAGGAAAACAGAGCUCUGUCCUUGGUGUGGGAGUCAGCUCAAGUCUACCACUGAGCAGCGAUGAAACAAACUAUUUGUGGAUCCACAGCCCACGGAGCUGCAGGGUCCACAGUAUAAGUAUGCUGUAAGGUGCCAGGCGCGGCAGUGCACACGUUUAACCCACCUGCUUGGGAGGCUGAGGCAGGAGGAUCAAAGGUUCAGGGCCAGCCCAGGCAAUCCAAAGAAAAAGUGGGUGUGUGUGUGUGCUGGGAUUUAGCUUGGUGGCAGAGCAUUUGCCUAAUGUGUGAGGCCCUGGGUUCAAUCCCUAGCAACACACACUCCCAAGGUGACUGCAAGCUUUCUGGGUUUUUCUCCAAAGAAGGAGCAAAAGAGGAACAGAUGAAGGUGCUGGGAGAAGAUCAUGGAGGCAGAGAUGUGCAGGGGAGUGCAAGGUCACAGGAGGAGCACUGGGGACUUCCUGUGCCACCAACUCUGCCUGCUGCUCUAGAACUCAGAGGCCAGAGUAGAUCUUCACUGAGGUCCCUUUGCCUCCAAAUGCCCUAUUCCAAACAGCAGAAAAGAAUUGGACAGAGCCAGGCGUGUGGUGACACACGCCUGUGAUCCCAGCACUCAGGAGGCUGAGGCAGGAGGAUAAGUGAGUUCAAGGAAGGCCUGAAAUAUAUAGGGAGACCCUGUCUCAAAAAAAAUAGGGCUGAGAUUUAGCUCAGGGGCAAGGUCCUGAGUUCAAUUCCCACUACCUCAAAAAAGCUAAAAUAGGGGCCAGGGAUCAAGCUCAGUGGUUCUGAUGCUCGCCUGGCCAAGUGCAAGGUCCCAAGUUCAAGCCCCAGUAUCAAAAAACCCCGAAAAUUACUAAAAAAACCCGUGGAGAUGUUUCCACAUCUUGCCCAAAUGAGACCUAUUUAGGCCUUACACGUUCAGAAGAGCAAGAACCAUGAGAUACUCUGUCUUCCUCUUGGACUUGGAGGACACCCCGGGUUCACAAAUGUGAGCCAGAGAUUUUUAAGGGUGUCAAGGGUGUCGUCUGACCUCCCAAACCAAUGCGAAGGUCUCAGCAGGAAGUACCGUCCCGGUGAGUGACGGGAGGCAAUUCACUUGGGUACCUACUAGACUUGGGUUCAGACCCAGAUGAAUCCAUCUACGAGAGGGAGUAGGCUCGAUCUCAGGUCGGUAACUGUCCCCCUCUGAACUGCAAUUCCCUGUCUAGAUGGGAGGAAAAUAACCCAAGGGCUGCGGGGCUCACUACAGCGCCGGGUACCGUGCCGGGGCUGUUCAGUGGACGGCUGAGGUCUGAGUCCCAACCUGGCCACCUACUCUCCUGGGCUUUUAUGAUCAGCCUAAACCUCCCUACAUUCAGCUGUAGAACGAGGAUCAGACUAGCGCCUGUGUCCUGCAGCCUCCUGAGGGUCAAAUCAGUGUAAACAGAGCAGCCUGGCCUGGCAGCUGGGACACUGCUAGGCUGAAUGUUGGAGGCCCAGGCCCGCGUUUCAUCUUCGCCUCCGCUCCUUGCUAACAGUGAACACGGCAAGCAUCAUUAAACGUCCUAUUUUGUUCCCUGCGUCUUCCAGGGCGAAAAAGUAAAUUUUAGGGCCGGGGAUUUAGCUCAGUGGGACCACGCCUGCCUUGCCAGCUCAAGGUCCUGAGUUCGAUCCCUGGGGAAAAAAAAAAAAAA